rnacentral:rRNA from 1 species
GACGAACGCUGGCGGCGUGCUUAACACAUGCAAGUCGAGCGGUAAGGCCCUUUCGGGGGUACACGAGCGGCGAACGGGUGAGUAACACGUGGGUGACCUGCCCUUAGCUCUGGGAUAAGCCUGGGAAACUGGGUCUAAUACCGGAUAUGACUCCAUGACGCAUGUUGUGGGGUGGAAAGCCUUGUGCGGCCAGGGAUGGGCCCGCGGCCUAUCAGCUUGUUGGUGGGGUGAUGGCCUACCAAGGCGACGACGGGUAGCCGGCCUGAGAGGGCGACCGGCCACACUGGGACUGAGACACGGCCCAGACUCCUACGGGAGGCAGCAGUGGGGAAUCUUGCGCAAUGGGCGAAAGCCUGACGCAGCGACGCCGCGUGAGGGAUGACGGCCUC